rnacentral:rRNA from 1 species
ACGGGAGGCAGCAGUGGGGAAUAUUGCACAAUGGGCGGAAGCCUGAUGCAGCAACGCCGCGUGCGGGAUGACGGCCUUCGGGUUGUAAACCGCUUUCGCCUGUGACGAAGCGUGAGUGACGGUAAUGGGUAAAGAAGCACCGGCUAACUACGUGCCAGCAGCCGCGGUGAUACGUAGGGUGCGAGCGUUGUCCGGAUUUAUUGGGCGUAAAGGGCUCGUAGGUGGUUGAUCGCGUCGGAAGUGUAAUCUUGGGGCUUAACCGGCAGCGUGAUUUCGAUACGGGUUGACUUGAGGAAGGUAGGGGAGAAUGGAAUUCCUGGUGGAGCGGUGGAAUGCGCAGAUAUCAGGAGGAACACCAGUGGCGAAGGCGGUUCUCUGGGCCUUUCCUGACGCUGAGGAGCGAAAGCGUGGGGAGCGAACAGGCUUAGAUACCCUGGUAGUCCACGCUGUAAACGGUGGGUACUAGGUGUGGGGUCCAUUCCACGGGUUCCGCGCCGUAGCUAACGCUUUAAGUACCCCGCCUGGGGA